rnacentral:rRNA from 1 species
GAGUUUGAUCGUGGCUCAGGAUGAACGCCGGCGGUGUGCCUAAUACAUGCAAGUCGUACGCACUGGCCCAACUGAUUGAUGGUGCUUGCACCUGAUCGACGAUGGAUCACCAGUGAGUGGCGGACGGGUGAGUAACACGUAGGUAACCUGCCCUGUACAGGGGGAUAACAAUCAGAAAUGACUGCUAAUACCGCAUAAGACCACAGCACCGCAUGGUGCAGGGGUAAAAACUCCGGUGGUACAGGAUGGACCCGCGUCUGAUUAGCUGGUUGGUGAGGUAACGGCUCACCAAGGCGACGAUCAGUAGCCGGCUUGAGAGAGUGAACGGCCACAUUGGGACUGAGACACGGCCCAAACUCCUACGGGAGGCAGCAGUGGGGAAUAUUGCACAAUGGGGAAACCCUGAUGCAGCAACGCCGCGUGAGUGAAGAAGUAUUUCGGUAUGUAAAGCUCUACCAGCAGGGAAGAAAGUGACGGUACCUGACUAAGAAGCCCGGCUAACUACGU